CCCACGCUUUCUAGAACCCUGAAUACUUUCCUGUGCCUGGCCGUUUCUGUCCAGUCUGGGGAUGUGGCAAAGCCCGUGGCUGCCACAGGGGUCCACCUCCCAGGCCCGGGUUGGGGAUCCAAGCUCAGGUGUCGGGGCUUGAACGGAGCAGGCAGUUGGUGCUCGCACUAGCUAAGAAGGUAAACAGACUGGUUAGACCUACGUGAGCCGAAGAAGUCGCUCUGGCCUCUGCCUGCUUUGCAUUAACCAGGAAAUAGUCACUCUAGCCAGAGAAGCCUGAAUCAAUCAGCCUCCCACACUGGCCUUCCGGUGGCUCCCUCCCAUUGGCCCCCAUUCUCAAUCCAGGAUGCCCUCCCCAUCUCUCAGCCCAUCGGGGACCUGCCCCAUCCCUGAUUUGAAGCCCUAAGGAUUCUACUGUAAAGAAUACUAGUGACACGAGAGUCCUGUCCUCCUUUUUGGGGGGUUAUUGCAAAACACACAGCUUCAGAACUGACUGCGUCAUUUGCUUUGAAAACAAAUGAUCUGGACUCCUUUUCGACCAAGUCCCUGGGAGCCUGCUUGAUAUCCACACCCCAAAAGGGUUUCUCUGUGUAGCCAGCCAUGGCUGUCCUGGACUCGCUUUGUAGACCAGGCUGGCCUUGAAUUCACAGAGUGCUGGGAUCCCAAGUGUGAGCCACCCACCGCGCCCGGCAGAAGGAGUCUUGGAAACAGUUUGACGGGAAAAAGAAGUCCCCAGAGUAAAUAAGAGACCCACCCCAAAUUUGCCUGGGGAGAGACCAGACACCUUGGUAGUUUACAAUGAGAAGGUCCUAGAAGGAAGCUGAAGGAGAUCAGGCUGUGCCCUACUUUCGGAAUUGUGCUUUGCCCUCGGCGACUUCAUGUUACAAAGCAGCACUUGUGCAGAUAGAGAAGUGGGUUGAUACUGCGUAUUGAGCACAUAGGCAGUACCACCUGUGAGACAAAGAACUGGUCCCUAUAAGUAAAAGGUUCUACCGACAAACCUGUCGAAGGAGCCUGGGAACAUGUGGGCAUGUGGCCUGGUUCAGAGUGUGUCUGGAUGUCCUUGCAGGAGAGUGCAGCUACCUGUGUGCCCCUGAUCCAGAACUGGUCCUCCUCUGUGGGGAAGGUCAUCUUCUUCACCCAGGCAUGCAGCUUUGGGAGGAACACAGGUGGAACAGUGAGGAAGCGAGUGGAGAACCCGCCUUGACAGCCAGUCAUUGGGUCACAUGUUACAGCCAAGUCACUUUCACACCCCCACAUGGACAUGUUAAAACCAUAAACCAGUCAGGGCGAGGCUGUGCAAGCCUUUAAUCCAGCACUUGGGAGGCAGAGGCAGAUGGAACUCUGUAAGUUCAAGGCCAGCCUGAUCUACAUAGAGAGCUCCAGAACAGCCAGGGAUACAUAGUGAGACCCUACCUAAAAAAAAAUAACUAAUUAAUUAAAAAAAAAAUUAGAGCCAGACAUAAGAGCAUAUACUGCUCUUCUAGAGGACCUGAAUUCUGUUUCCAGCACCCAUGUUGGGUGGCCCACAACUAUCUAUGACUCCAGCUCCAGGGGUUCUAGUGCCCUCUUCAGGACUCCAUUGGCAUCCUUAAACACACGCACACACACACACACACAAAGACAGAAAUAAAUAUUUGUUUAAUGGGAGGGCUGGAGAGAUGUCAGAGGUUAAGAGCACUGGCUGCUCUUAUAGAGGACCCUGAUUCAGUUCUCAGCCCCCACAUGGUGGCUCAAAACCUUUUGUAACUCCAGGUGGCGUGUCCUCUUAUGGCCUCUAUGGGCACUCACUCAUACAGACACAGAUAUACAUACACAUAAAUAAAAACAAUAAAAAUAAAAUUUAAAAAUUCAGAAUGACCAGGCUAAGAACUUACCAAACACUCCAGGAAGGCUGCAGAAUUCUCGCUGGACACCAUCAAACACUACAGUGGUAAUGGCUCCCACCGACAGGCCAUCUGAAAUCUGAACACAGGGUGUGCAUGAAGGAAUCAACAGGCAGAGACUGUCCCUGGGCUUUAGUUCAGCUCAGUCCCUGCUGCAGAUGUGACCUAAUCAGUGGCUGUCCAUCUGCCUGUCCAUCCAUCUACCUUAUAGAAGUUCUGCUCUUUGUCUCUGUGGCUCAGCUCAACCUCCAGGGCUGGAUCAACCCAUGACCAAGAAGCUAGGCUCUGAGUUUCUCCAGUUAUCUUAUCUCCCAUCAACACAGGCCUCUAUUUCUGUCAGCUCUCUACGUUUCUUACAGCAGCUUUGAACUCUUUAGAAUCAUUGGCCCUUCUGUAGCCAUUCUGUUACGCACACAGGCACACACACACACACACACACACAUUUUAUAUACAUGAAUAUCAUUACUGGGUAUCUAUAAUCUAUGAUCUGAGAAUUAAUAUAUUAAUAAUUAAGACUGGAAUAAAAGAACUACUGUUUGCCAGUGACCAGCUAUCCAGGCAAACUGGGAUUCCUCAGCAAAUUGAAGCCAAUGAGACUGACAUAGUUUCUGAAAUUAUUUUUAUUCAAUAAAUUCUGAUAACUGUGCAAACACGAAAAUGCA